UGGGUUGUAGCUCAGUGGUAGAGUGCUUACAUAGCAUGUGUGAGGCACUGAGUUUGAUCCUCAGCAUCACAU
rnacentral:tRNA from 1 species